AGACUACCUGGGAAUUGAGAAGAUGCACA
rnacentral:piRNA from 1 species